rnacentral:rRNA from 1 species
AGAGUUUGAUCCUGGCUCAGAACGAACGCUGGCGGCGUGGAUAAGACAUGCAAGUCGAACGGAAUAUUUCAGGUAGUAAUAUUUGAAAUGUUCAGUGGCGAACGGGUGCGUAACACGUGGAUUACAUUCCGGGAAGCGGGGGAUAGCCCAGGGAAACUUGGAUUAAUACCGCAUGUGGUCGAAAGACUAAAGGUGGGGACCGCAAGGCCUGCCCCUUCCCGAUUGGUCCGCGGCCUAUCAGCUUGUUGGUGAGGUAAUGGCUCACCAAGGCUACGACGGGUAGCUGGUCUUAGAGGACGACCAGCCACACUGGAACUGAGACACGGUCCAGACACCUACGGGUGGCAGCAGUCGAGAAUCUUUCACAAUGGGGGCAACCCUGAUGGAGCGACGCCGCGUGGAGGAUAAGGUCUUCGGAUUGUAAACUCCUGUCAUGCGAGAACAAGGUAGCUUGGUUAAUAACCUUGCUGCUUGAUGGUACCGCAAGAGGAAGAGACGGCUAACUCUGUGCCAGCAGCCGCGGUAAUACAGAGGUCUCAAGCGUUGUUCGGAAUCACUGGGCGUAAAGGGUGCGUAGGCUGCGCCGUAAGUCAGAUGUGAAAGCUCAGGGCUCAACCCUGAAAUUGCAUCCGAUACUGCGGUGCUA